rnacentral:rRNA from 1 species
AGAGUUUGAUCAUGGCUCAGAACGAACGCUGGCGGCGUGGAUAAGACAUGCAAGUCGAGCGAGAUUUUUUCCUGUAGCAAUACAGGGAAAAGUCGAGCGGCGAACGGGUGCUUAACACGUGGGCAACCUGCCAAGAAGUGGGGGAUAGCUCGCCGAAAGGCGAAUUAAUACCGCAUGUGAUCAGAGUGGACAUCCAUUCAAAACCAAAGUCGGGGCAACCUGACGCUUCUUGAGGGGCCCGCGGCCUAUCAGCUAGUUGGUGAGGUAACGGCCCACCAAGGCUUAGACGGGUAGCUGGUCUGAGAGGACGACCAGCCACACUGGGACUGAGACACGGCCCAGACACCUACGGGUGGCAGCAGUCGAGAAUUUUUCUCAAUGGGGGAAACCCUGAAGGAGCGACGCCGCGUGGAGGAUGAAGGUCUUCGGAUUGUAAACUCCUGUCAUUGGGGAACAAUGCGCAAAUAUUAACUGUAUUUGCGUUGAUAGUACCCGAAGAGGAAGAGACGGCUAACUCUGUGCCAGCAGCCGCGGUAAUACAGAGGUCUCAAGCGUUGUUCGGAUUCAUUGGGCGUAAAGGGUGCGUAGGCGGCGCGGUAAGUCGGGUGUGAAAUCUCGGAGCUUAACUCCGAAACUGCAUUCGAUACUGCCGUGCUUGAGGACUGGAGAGGAGACUGGAAUUUACGGUGUAGCGGUGAAAUGCGUAGAUAUCGUAAGGAAGACCAGUGGCGAAGGCGGGUCUCUGGACAGUUCCUGACGCUGAGGCACGAAAGGCCAGGGGAGCAAACGGGAUUAGAUACCCCGGUAGUCCUGGCAGUAAACGGUGCACGUUUGGUGUGGGAGGAUUCGACCCCCUCUGCGCCGGAGCUAACGCGUUAAACGUGCCGCCUGGGGAGUACGGUCGCAGAUUAAACUCAAAGAAAUUGACGGGGGCCCGCACAGCGGUGGAGUAUGUGGCUCAAUUCGA